GAUGAACGCUAGCUACAGGCUUAACACAUGCAAGUCGAGGGACCGGCGCACGGGUGAGUAACACGUAUCCAACCUGCCCUGUACUCGGGGAUAGCCUUUCGAAAGAAAGAUUAAUACCCGAUAUAAAGGAUGGGGAUGCGUUCCAUUAGGUUGUUGGUGAGGUAACGGCUAACCAAGCCUUCGAGGGAUAGGGGUUCGGAGAGGAAGUUCCCCUAGAUUGGAACUGAGACACGGUCCAAACUCGUACGGGAGGCAGGAGAGAGGAAUAUUAGUGGAUGGGGUCUAGCCUGAACCUGCCAAGUGUGGUAAAGAAUGAAGGCGUAUGGGUGUUAAUCUUCUUUUAUAUAAGAGUAUGUAUUAACUUAAUAAGGACCGGCUAACUCCGUGCCAGCAGCCGCGGUAAUAC
rnacentral:rRNA from 1 species